CACAUCCACUUCCUUUUUAAGCCUUCAGCACUUCUCACUGUGCACAGUGUUCUCAGCAUAGGACACAAGCGUUUGGUGCUUCAACCCAUCCCUCCACAAUGCCGUCCUUCUUGGGAAUGCUCCUUGCACUGGCUGCCUCCUCCUUGUGUGUCCUCGCUCAAGUGGUGCUGCCCGUGUCAGAUCCGGUGGUGAAAAAACCUGGAGAAUCCCAUAAACUAAUCUGUGACCUUACUGGGUUUAAUGUCAACAGCUACUGGAUGGACUGGAUCAGGCAGAAGCCAGGCAAAGGACUGGAAUGGCUUGUUCACUACUACAGCUCUGGAAGCAAUCAUUAUUCUCCAACAAUCCAAGGGCGAUUCACAGCCUCCAAAGACAGUUCUAAGUUCUAUCUGCAAAUGAACAAUCUGAACCCAGAAGACACAGCUGUCUAUUACUGUGCCAGAGACACAAUGACCAAGAUCCCAUUAGACCUCUGA